rnacentral:misc_RNA from 1 species
CCAGACAAUGUAUAAUCAGCCAACAAUAUCAGUUGCUGAAAAGAUUAUGCCACCCCACUACUUUCAGUACUAUAAAACAAACCUCCAAUAGCACAACAAUAUUGCCCACUCAAAAUUGGCAAGUUGAACACAAUUUCUCAUCCAGACAAUUGAAUGGAAAUGGGUAUUGAUGAAGCCAAACAAAAACAGAAGGCUUCUUCUUGAUAGACACCUGAUGCUAAAUUUAAAUAACAUGUAUAAAUAUCUCUGUUUCUCUCUCCCACAAACACGUCCGUGGAUGUUCUUUUCAUAGUGUGGAGAAAAGUGCAUUCAAUGGUCAAAAAGAGGCAUGCCUUGUACAAAUGACUUGCCAUUACUGCACCCCACUCAUCUUUGCCCAAUCUACGAACUGCAUCCCACCAUAUAUAUUGUUGGCAAAUCUUACACCAACAGUGAACGUCAUUGCAACAGGAGGGACUUGCUUUGCCAAAGGUGAUGCUUCAACCAGGCGUUCCAGUCCAUUAAUGAUUUGGUAACGAGUAUUGGAAGAUACAGCAAGAAAAACACCCCAAAGAACAGCACUUUGCACAAGAGGUGGAACUGGAAUAUCCUCUUCUGAUUUCUUUAUGCUCCGUUUGGCAGUCAUGAUCAGAUUAGCAAUGCCUUGGCCAAUGAGUCCACACCCAAACCCAACUGAACCGUAUAAUACCCCCUUAUAGAAGUAUGUAGCAAUGCGCUGCUUCACAGAGAAUUUACAUCCUGGCCUUUCAGCUUCAAAUACGCUGCUGGGAAGAGCCGCACAAGCCUGUUGUAUUUUUCCAAAUACACCUCUUGAAACAGAUGGCUGCCCAAUACGUGCAUAAGGUGCUAACAUACCAACCAAAGCAAUGUCAACCACAAUACCAACCAAAAGGUCAGCUGCAUACAACUCAAACUCUGACCAGAAGUCCUUUCCCCUUUUUUGAACUUCCGCAAAUGUGGCACAACAAGAAUCAAUGACUAUCUCUGUUCCAACUUUGAAAAGAAAAGAAGGAUCAGCCAGCAUUCGGUUGCGCAAGAUAGCACAGUACUUCAUCAAAAAGCUGAGUGGCCAAACCGACCCCUACAAUUCAAAUGCAAUGAAAACAACGGCGAAAAACAAUAAACAAAAAAUUCUCAAAAUCGAAUCUUUGNACCAUAUCUGCUGGAAGUUUCACUCCACGCGUUUCUGCUUCCUUCAUCACUUCCUCGAAUCUCAUUAUCGGCCCAAACUCCUUCUCUUCUUCGUUAUCACCCUCGUCUCCACCUCCACCACCACCGGCUCCACCUCCACCGGCACCACCUCCAGAAUCCCCAUUACUACCACCACCACCUCCAUCAAUCCUCAAGUCCAAAACUCGUUCAUCCUGAACGAAAUUACAAUCCUCUCCCCGCCCCGACGAAUCGGCAAUCGUACUGGCGGCGGACUCGGAGUUAACGCAUUGGAGAAGUGAAACCGAGUGAAUGCAAGCGUUGAUUGGUUGAGGAACAAGAGAAGAUGAAAAGACUGAGUUGAUUGGAAUCGGAGAUUUAACGGCGAGAAAAGUCUGCUUGAUCGGAGCGGUGGCCUCGUUAAAGAAGUUGAAAGGAGGCGGAAUGUUGAAGCUAGGUGAAGAAACUGACAUUCUUGCUAAUUUUCUUUUCCAAAGAGAAAGGAAGAUUUGAAAAAGGUAAAGCUUUUUGAUAAUGGUGGAGGCUAGGUAUAGAUUCUGGAGCGAAAUGAAAUACAGUGACU